rnacentral:lncRNA from 1 species
CUUCUAUUCAGUAGGAGCAGGAGUGAGUUAUUUUCGGUACAAGAAAGAUGUUAUCUGUGAAGUUCCAUUUAUUUUAAAAGUUUUAUUGCUAUGGCAUAUCACUGAAUAUGGGUAAAUCAUUUAAUUCUAUAAGUUUGUUUCCUUUUCUGUAAAAUUAGCAGGUUGACCUAGAACUGUGAUUUUUAGUUUUUGCUUUAUUCAAAAAAAUACCAUUGAUUUUGUAACUUUUAGGGAAUUGACUUCUAUCUGUUUGGUUCCUUAGUAUGUAUCCAGUAUCAGGACAGUGUUCAGUCAUGAACAGGAGAUGCUCAAAUGCUGAGUGAAAGAAUGAAUGUGCAUAGCAAGAAGAACUGGUUUGGGGAAAGAUUUCAGCUGUUACCUGCACCAAAAUCAAGAGACUAACAGUGACUGAUACAAAGGUUUUGUUUUGGAAGGCAUAUGAAUAAAAGAUAAAGAAGCAAAGAAUGUAAAGGUAUUGGCAACAGAGCACUUAAAUUGUAAAUGGAAAGGAUAGCUAUGUUACAAGGAAAAAUACCAAUGUCCUCAUGGAGGGGAAUGCAGUGGAAGUCUCAAUGAUGUUGAGUAAAGGUGUGGUGGGGACAAAGGAAUA